rnacentral:rRNA from 1 species
GGGGAAUCUUGCGCAAUGCGCGAAAGCGUGACGCAGCAACGCCGCGUGCGGGAAGACGGCCUUCGGGUUGUAAACCGCUUUCAGUUGGGACGAAGCUUCGCUGGUGAACAGCCGGCCGGAGUGACGGUACCUUCACAAGAAGCCCCGGCUAACUACGUGCCAGCAGCCGCGGUAAUACGUAGGGGGCAAGCGUUGUCCGGAAUCAUUGGGCGUAAAGCGCGUGUAGGCGGCUUCGUCAGUCCGUUGUGAAAGUCCAGGGCGCAAACCUGGAAUGCCGAUGGAUACGGCGGAGCUCGAGUCCGGAAGAGGCUAGUGGAAUUCCGGUUGUAGCGGUGAAAUGCGCAGAUAUCAGGAGGAACACCAAUGGCGAAGGCAGCUUGCCGGGACGGUACUGACGCUGAGACGCGAAAGCGUGGGGAGCAAAC